GAUGAACGCUGGCGGCGUGCCUAAUACAUGCAAGUCGAGCGAACAGACGAGGAGCUUGCUCCUCUGAUGUUAGCGGCGGACGGGUGAGUAACACGUGGAUAACCUACCUAUAAGACUGGGAUAACUUCGGGAAACCGGAGCUAAUACCGGAUAACAUGUUGAACCGCAUGGUUCAACAGUGAAAGACGGUCUUGCUGUCACUUAUAGAUGGAUCCGCGCCGCAUUAGCUAGUUGGUAAGGUAACGGCUUACCAAGGCAACGAUGCGUAGCCGACCUGAGAGGGUGUUCGGCCACACUGGAACUGAGACACGGUCCAGACUCCUACGGGAGGCAGCAGUAGGGAAUCUUCCGCAAUGGGCGAAAGCCUGACGGAGCAACGCCGCGUGAGUGAAGAAGGUCUUCGGAUCGUAAAACUCUGUUAUUAGGGAAGAACAAAUGUGUAAGUAACUAUGCACGUCUUGACGGUACCUAAUCAGAAAGCCACGGCUAACUACGUG
rnacentral:rRNA from 1 species